rnacentral:tRNA from 1 species
GGCGCUAUAGUGUAGUGGUUAUCACUUGGGAUUCUGACGGAUGUUCCCAAAACCCAGGUUCGAGCCCUGGUAGCGCCU